GAUGAACGCUGGCGGCGUGCCUAAUACAUGCAAGUCGAGCGAACGGACGAGAAGCUUGCUUCUCUGAUGUUAGCGGCGGACGGGUGAGUAACACGUGGAUAACCCACCUAUAAGACUGGGAUAACUUCGGGAAACCGGAGCUAAUACCAGAUAAUAUUUUGAACCGCAUGGUUCAAAAGUGAAAGACGGUCUUGCUGUCACUUAUAGAUGGAUCCGCGCUGCAUUAGCUAGUUGGUAAGGUAACGGCUUACCAAGGCAACGAUGCAUAGCCGACCUGAGAGGGUGAUCGGCCACACUGGAACUGAGACACGGUCCAGACUCCUACGGGAGGCAGCAGUAGGGAAUCUUCCGCAAUGGGCGAAAGCCUGACGGAGCAACGCCGCGUGAGUGAUGAAGGUCUUCGGAUCGUAAAACUCUGUUAUUAGGGAAGAACAUAUGUGUAAGUAACUGUGCACAUCUUGACGGUACCUAAUCAGAAAGCCACGGCUAACUACGUG
rnacentral:rRNA from 1 species